CACAGUAAGGUAGCUUCAUCGCAUUACUGCUUCACUAUCUUCUUCCCUGACGCCAUGACCACGGCCAAAAAGCUCUGUGCUUCCCCCAUAUGCAACACACCUGGCUGCAUUUGAUCUAAAUAAGGCCCAAUUUGUACGCAGCUGCCACACAGUGUUCACUAGUGGUAUUACAACAACACAAAAACAAGAGCAAACACAAGGACAAUGGGCUCUGACAGUGAUCGUCCCACAGACGAACACUGAACAUGUAUUGAAACUCCAGUGGCGUGUGAAGAGACACUGCGUCAUCUGUGACAUCAGGACCAGAACAAUCCACACUGGUCUGAUCAAAGUAUUUUCCAGCCAGCGAUACCUGUCACUGAGCAUGGUGUGUGUGUUUGGGCUGCCUCUCCGUCACCUGCAUCAGUGUCGUCUGAUCUCAAAAUCACUCUCCAUGUUGGACGGCAUCAGUCGCUUCCUGCACUCUGGACAGAAGACCUCUCUCUCUGACAUGGAAGAGUAAAACAUAGCAAAUAAAUACAAAGAAAAGAAGGUGUAAAUGAAAUGUGAUCAAAGUGUUGCACAGUAACUAAAUAUCUGCAUGUUGCAGACACUGUAAUAAUCAGAGGAAAAAGACAUUUAGUGACUUGAAUGUGGACAAAUGUGCUCCAAUCAAACACAGAGAUGAGCUCAGAGAAAAGUCCUCAGGCUGUGUGAGUCCAUGUAUAAACACAUUAAGUGUCCAACAGGAUAAACAGUGGGACCUGUAAACUAUGUCAGUGUUUGUUGUUCUUCUUCAAACCUUUACAGAUUCUUUUUCAGCUAACUGAAGCUGGCAGACAAACUGUUCACGGAUAUGACGCGUGUCUAACAGUCCCGCGCCUCUCCAACUGUUUCCUUCCUGUGUAAACUUUACUUUCACUUUGAAGGAUGGUGGUGACGCAGCUUGUUUCCUCCAGCUGAAGAGAGUCUGUGGAGGAGGCGGAGACGAGCCGCUGCUCUGCCGCUGUCUGAGCCUCUUAAGGCGGCUGAGAGCAGCAGUUAGUGUCGGUGAAUGUUCCGUCAGUAGAUUUAUACUACAGGACUGAUGUGGAGACAGCAGGAAGGAGCUUAGCAGGGACUCAACCGGUUGUUUGUCAACACAGACCGUAAAUGUUGAACUGCGUCACAAGCUGGCGCUGUUCCAACAGCUGCUAGAGACGUCAUCACGCUGCAUUCAAGGCCCUCAUGCUGCGUUCACGGGACACAGUGAGAGCCAGCUGUAACAUUUGGCCUUUGCUCGUUUGUUGGAGGUCCAGUUUGAGAUUUUAUCACCAGCUUCUUAAUGAUUGAAGGUUUCCUGGAGAACAAAAUGUCAUUUGGCUCUAAUUAAAGGACAAAGUGUUGUUUCAGUGA